GUUACUGAGACUAACACCUCGGUAACGUUAGCUUCCUAGCCAGUAUAAAAUCAAACAUUUUGACAAAUGUUGUGUAGCUACACGAAUUGCAGUGUUUUAAACAUGAUUACGUUAACGUUUCUAGCUACUAGUUGAUUAAAAGUUCAUUUGCUUGCUAAAUUUGCACCCAAAAAGAAUUCAUACUGAGACGAGCACUAGCUAGCUAACAUCUCAGCUACUUCUCCCCUGCUAAAGAAGAGGAGGUCUGUUGGACAGAGGAAGAAGCUCUUGUGAAAGAGGAAGACGAGGCUGUCACAGUUAAAAACAAUAAGUAGCGGGUGAGGCUGUUAGAGUGAACGGGAAAGACGUUUCAGUGAAAGAAAAGGAAGACGCGUUCAGAGUGAAAUAAGGGGAGGAGGAGAAAGAUGAGGCUGCAGUUUUUGGAGUCGAAGAAGGAGAGGACUGUCACGGUGAAAGAAGAGAAAGACGUUUUUGGAGUUAAGGGGGAGGUUAUUGUCACAUUGCAAGAGAAGGAAGAAGAGAACAACGAUGAAGAUCUGAUUAACACCAGUGAUGCUGAUUGAGAGAAAGCCAAGAGUGUGCAAAGCUGUUAAGGCAAAAGGUUCAAAACUCAAAGUUGCAUAAUGGCCAAGAAAAAGCUGCCAUACAAGCUACGUAUAAGAUGCAAUAAGGAUGAACGAGUCCCAUCCUCUCCAAGAAUAAACAGUGGAACCAUAAAGCCAAGUUGGAGAACCAGCAUAAAGAAUAAAGACCCCCAAAAAUAUGAGGAAAUAUUAAACAAAGGACGAAACUACAACAGAACAUGUAGACAUGAGAUGUCCCUUGCUGAUAGUAUCCUAAAAAAUAGGAACAUUUCAAGCAAAGAGAGGGAGAAGGCAGAAAAGCUGCGGCAGCAUGAAAAAUAUAUAACGCCAGUGCUUCCUGGAGAAUGAGGAAGAUGAGCAAAGCGAAGAGAGGAAGACCGGAGCGACCAGAAACGUGUUAAGAAAAGGCAAAGAAGAACUGAAUUGCAGAAGAACAACAGAGAGAAGAAUGCAAAGCUUAAAGAAAACGUCAACAGAGGAGCAUGAAGGAGAAAAAGCAAAAAGAUGGGAAAAAUAUAGUCAGAACAAGGAAAAGGCAACGCAGCAUGAACAGGCAACGCAGCAUAACAAGAUAAUAUGGGAGCAGAGAGAAUUAGUCUCAAGAAACAAGAGGAUAAAGAACCUAGAAAGCAACUUGAACAUUGUAAAAGAGCCUUGCAGAUAGCAGGGCAAGAUGUACGGAGUCCAGAAGGAAGAGCCUCAAGUGGCUGAAGCCUGUAUGUCAAAACAGGCAGCACAGUACGUCACUGCUAUCAUGGAGCUCAUUGACAAGGCCUCACAGAGGAAGGCAGUCAUUUUCCCUCAGAGGAACAUCGGAACCACAACAGAAGGGGACGUUGGAAGUGGCAGUUGUUGAAGCAGUAGCCUAAGGCCUAUCAAAAGUCCAGACCAUCUGCAACUAGGAAGGCUUUGGCUUGUUCACUGAAUGUGAUUAAGAACUACAAACUACAGAGACAGUUUGCAAAAAGAUGUUGGGGUCAGUAGAAAACUCUUAAGGCAAAGCAAGAACAAAAAAAAGGCCAUGAGGUCUACGUAGAUUAUUACCUCCAUCGACAGUCACACACACUGGGUGCUGGAGGAGUAUUGAUGGUGUGCCUUUUAUUCCCUUUACUACACAUGUGAAACUGCAAGAAAAUCAUAUUUAAAUGUAUGUUAAACCAUUUUUUUUUUUUUAAAUGUUGACCCUGAUGUCACACAUUGGCCCUUUAUUUAUAGAAAUACCCGUAUCUAACCUGAAAAGACAUCACACACAGGAGAGAAGCCUAACCAUUACUCUCUGUGUGGAAAAAGUUUCGCACAGUUAGGGAACAUGAAAAGACAUGAGGACGCACACAGAAGAGAAGCUUUACCACUGCUCUCUGUGUGGAAAUAGUUUUACCCAGUUAGGACACCAGAAAGUGCAUGAGAGAAUACACACAGGGGAGAAGCCUUAACAAUGCUCAGACUGUGGGAAGACAUAUUCCUCAUCACAGCCACUUAAUGUGAGAAUCGACAUAGGAGGGAAGAAGCCUUACUUCUCCUAGUGUGUAAAUUGAUAUUUCACAUCACAUUGACUUAAAGUUAAUCAGAGAUCAUACACAGUGCUCCUGUUGUCUUAUAUUGUUGACUGAGAAUGUGUUUACUUGUUUACACCAUAUGACAUUUUAUUGUACAAAAUAUACCCAAAAAUAUAUUUGUAUGUUUAUUAUUAGAAAAUAUAAGUUGAAUAUGGAGAAUGUCCGUUCGAUUAUUGUAUAUGAUUAAAUGGUCCUGUUGUAACCUCUGA